rnacentral:tRNA from 1 species
GGUUGUGGCUCUGUGGUAGAGCACUCGCCUAGCAUGUGCAAGGCCCUGUGUUCAAUCCUCUGCACCA